rfam:Aedes albopictus isolate Foshan contig114209, whole genome shotgun sequence.
UAGCCUAGUGGUUAAGGCUUUGGACCGCCAAUCCGGAGACGGCGGGUUCGAUUCCCGU